rnacentral:rRNA from 1 species
CCCGCCGGCGACCGGCGCACGGGUGAGUAACACGUAUGAAACCUGCCCGUAGCAGGGGGAUAAGCGGAAGAAAUUCCGUUCUAAUACCGCGUAACAACCCAUGGAGGCAUCUCUGUGGGUUUAAAGGAAGCGAUUCCGGCUACGGAUGGUCAUGCGUCGCAUUAGCUUGUUGGCGGGGUAACGGCCCACCAAGGCGACGAUGCGUAGGGGUUCUGAGAGGAAGGUCCCCCACACUGGUACUGAGACACGGACCAGACUCCUACGGAAGGCAGCAG